UUACUGAUUUAAUGAAUGUUGAUAUUGUGAUCAUGAGGCGGUUCCCCCAGAGCGGGGCCUGUUGAUUGCACUGCGGACUGAUUGACCUCUGCGAUUAUCCCUAAUGCGGAUAACUCGAACGCGUAAUUUUUGGUAGUGGGGACUGCGUACUCGCCGUCCCCC